AGCUUUGCGCAGUGGCAGUAUUGCAGCCAAUGAGGUUUAUCUGACGUGCAAUUAUUACUAAUUGAAAAGUUUUCCCAAAAGCUUAUCAAUUAGUACAAAAUGCCUGGCAAUUCAGACUGAG
ensembl:snRNA U4 U4 spliceosomal RNA